AUCUAGCUGACGAGUCCCAAAUAGGAAGAAAAGCGCAUCAAACUGGAU
rnacentral:hammerhead_ribozyme from 1 species